CUCGAUCCCGAUCUUAGUUAGGUUACGGAAUAGGCUCCUUAUCGUGCAGGCCGAGAAGAUAGAGAAGAAUAAAAGGGAAGUUGUUAUUUCUGUAUUUCAAUUAUAUGACUGUUUUGAUUUCUUCCUAAUUGUAUUUUGUCUCUUUAAGCACUUUUUGUUUAAGCUCAUGCAAAAUGAAGAAGGUGAUGGAUUUCGUUUGUGUGUGGACUCCCAUAAAAGAAAGAAGAACAUGCUGCAAUAAAUGAAAGUAGUUGUAACGUCAAAAACUGAUAUGAAAGCAACUAAAGCUGUGAUGCAAAUCAAUAGUGGAGCUAAAUGACAAUGAGGGGUAAAUUACUCAGACAAAAGCGUACAAAGAUUUCUUAGUUUGUUGUAAUAUUAUGGAAAAUUUCCAGAGAAUUUAUUUCAGUGAUAUUUUUUUCGUGUAGAAAUUAUUAGCAGCUUGUGUACUGUUUGAAGAAAGAAUUAUUUCAUUUCAACAUGUUUUUUAAAAACAUUUCUAACUUUUGAAAAAUUCCCAGGAAUUUUUAUAAAUUGGUCCGAAAAUAUGUGUUUUAUGACUGUAAUGUUUGUUGAAUUUUUGGUGAUUUUCACCAAAAGUACGAUAAUCUGGAGUAAUUUACCCCGCGUUGAUGAAUACGUUUGGACCAUCUAAGCAAUGGAGUUAAAGAAAAAUAUGUUGUGAACAUCUCAGCAGUUGGACUAAAUGACUAUUUCAAUGAAAUGUUGAUGUUAUUGGGGAAGAAACUGGGCAAAGUCUUAAGAGAUUAUGGACUAUAGAUGAAAAACAGAAUUGAUAUUGCUUUUGAGAUGACUCAUCGUCAAAGAUUGUAAGCAGUGGAGUUCAAUGUAAUCAACAUUGGUGCGCUACAAAUGCAAAAGAAGUGUGUUAGAAAGAAGUAAAGUCAAUGGACUCUGGCUGCAAAUGGAGUAAUUGUGAAAAAAUUGCACGUUAUGUCAGCAGAUAAUGGACAACAAACAUGAUGGCGAUACAAGUGAAAUUGAAGGGAAACGAUGAUAAUAAUGCUGUUAAUGGUAAUUGUUCAAGGAAAACCAGCCCAGAAUGAUGUUCAGUGAAUAUUGCUUAUGGUAAUAUAGAUAUAUAGUUAAGAUUAUAGUUUGGCUCCACUAUAAGUAUAAUUGUCAAUCUAAAUAAAGUUGGAAGUUCCCCUUCCUUCUUACUUUAUUUAGAUGAAGUUUAAGUUAAAUGCUUUGUCUGUCAAAAUUGCCCCACACAAUUUUGAUAGAUAAAUGCAAUAAAAUAAUAUUGUAAAUUGUCUUUUUGUCAAUAGUUUAAAGUAAUUAUAAUACUCCUGUAAUGAUCAUAAUGACCGGAAUAAGUUUGAAGUAAUAUGAAUAAUUUAAAUAUUUACUGAA